rnacentral:rRNA from 1 species
UACGUAGGGCGCAAGCGUUAUCCGGAAUUAUUGGGCGUAAAGAGCUCGUAGGCGGUUUGUCGCGUCUGCCGUGAAAGUCCGGGGCUCAACUCCGGAUCUGCGGUGGGUACGGGCAGACUAGAGUGAUGUAGGGGAGAUUGGAAUUCCUGGUGUAGCGGUGGAAUGCGCAGAUAUCAGGAGGAACACCGAUGGCGAAGGCAGAUCUCUGGGCCGUAACUGACGCUGAGGAGCGAAAGCGUGGGGAGCGAACAGG